CGCCCUUUUUUAUUUUGUUAUUGGUCUUUUUUUCUCCGUCGAUUUGACAAUCUACCUUGCAACUAGCGUGUUUCCAACUGUAAUGUGCUUAGUGGUUUUAGGUUCUUACAUUUUGGGUCAACCUCUUAUGAGGCUAUUUAGCCUUAGUCUGGUAUUGCUGAACUUAUUUAAUAAUCUGUGUGGGAAAGAAAAUACACACGAAAAUAGGAAAA
rnacentral:lncRNA from 1 species